CCGAGUUUACAACUCCCAAACCCCUGUGAACAUACCUAUAUGUUGCCUCGGCGGAUCAGCCCGCGCCCCCGUAAAACGGGACGGCCCGCCGCAGGAUCCACAAACUCUGUUUUUAUUGUAACUUCUGAGUAACAAAACAAAUAAAUCA
rnacentral:misc_RNA from 1 species